rnacentral:rRNA from 1 species
UGCAGCGGAUCCGCAUGGAUAUGUUUGUUUAAAAGGGUUUUACCGCCUUGGGAUAGGCUUGCGUCUGAUUAGUUUAGUUGGUGUGGUAACGGCACACCAAGGCUACGAUCAGUAACUGGUCUGAGAGGAUGAUCAGUCACACUGGAACUGAGACACGGUCCAGACUCCUACGGGAGGCAGCAGUGAGGAAUAUUGGGCAAUGCUCGAAAGAGUGACCCAGCAACGCCGCGUGGAGGAUGAAGGUAUUCUAUAUCGUAAACUCCUGUGAGAGCAGACGAAAGACAGAUUAUUAAUCUGGAUGACUGUAUGCUCAGAGGAAGCCCCGGCUAACUACGUG